GGGAGCAUAGCUCAGCUGGGAGAGCAUCUGCCUUACAAGCAGAGGGUCACAGGUUCGAGCCCUGUUGCUCCCACCA
rnacentral:tRNA from 3 species